rnacentral:rRNA from 1 species
AUUGAACGCUGGCGGCAGGCCUAACACAUGCAAGUCGAACGGAGUGGCGGACGGGUGAGUAAUGUCUGGGAAACUGCCUGAUGGAGGGGGAUACCUACUGGAAACGGUAGCUAAUACCGCAUACUCUCAGCUUAGCCUAGGUCGGAUUAGCUAGUUGGUGGGGUAAAGGCCUACCAAGGCGACGAUCCGUAGCUGGUCUGAGAGGAUGAUCAGUCACACUGGAACUGAGACACGGUCCAGACUCCUACGGGAGGCAGCAGUGGGGAAUAUUGGACAAUGGGCGAAAGCCUGAUGCAGCCAUGCCGCGUGUGUGAAGAAGGUCUUCGGAUUGUAAAGCACUUUAAGUUGGGAGGCGUUACCAACAGAAGAAGCACCGGCUAACUUCGUGCCAGCAGCCGCGGUAAUAC